rnacentral:rRNA from 1 species
UCCCACCCGUGUUUACUGUACCUUAGUUGCUUCGGCGGGCCCGCCAUUCAUGGCCGCCGGGGGCUCUCAGCCCCGGGCCCGCGCCCGCCGGAGACACCACGAACUCUGUCUGAUCUAGUGAAGUCUGAGUUGAUUGUAUCGCAAUCAGUUAAAACUUUCAACAAUGGAUCUCUUGGUUCCGGCAUCGAUGAAGAACGCAGCGAAAUGCGAUAACUAGUGUGAAUUGCAGAAUUCCGUGAAUCAUCGAGUCUUUGAACGCACAUUGCGCCCCCUGGUAUUCCGGGGGGCAUGCCUGUCCGAGCGUCAUUGCUGCCCAUCAAGCACGGCUUGUGUGUUGGGUCGUCGUCCCCUCUCCGGGGGGGACGGGCCCCAAAGGCAGCGGCGGCACCGCGUCCGAUCCUCGAGCGUAUGGGGCUUUGUCACCCGCUCUGUAGGCCCGGCCGGCGCUUGCCGAACGCAAAUCAAUCUUUUUCCAGGUUGACCUCGGAUCAGGUAGGGAUACCCGCUGAACUUAAGCAUAUCAAUAAGCGGAGGA